UCAGAACGAACGCUGGCGGCGUGCCUAACACAUGCAAGUCGAACGCGAACGUCUUCUUCGGAGGACAAGUAGAGUGGCGCACGGGUGAGUAACGCGUAAGUAAUCUGUCCUGGCAUCUGGGAUAACCUAUCGAAAGGUGAGCUAAUACCGGAUACGUCCUGCGGGAGAAAGACCGCCUCUGUUGUAAGCGGUUGUGCGAGGAGGAGCUUGCGUACCAUUAGCUGGUUGGUGGGGUAACGGCCUACCAAGGCGACGAUGGUUAGCGGGUCUGAGAGGMUGAUCCGCCACACUGGAACUGAAACACGGACCAGACUCCUACGGGAGGCAGCAGUGAGGAAUAUUGCGCAAUGGGGGCAACCCUGACGCAGCGACGCCGCGUGGAUGAUGAAGGCCUUCGGGUUGUAAAAUCCUGUCAGAUGGGAAGAAAUGUACGAUGGUUAAGAGCUGUCGUAUUUGACGUACCAUCAAAGGAAGCACCGCUA
rnacentral:rRNA from 1 species